UACCUCUGGUGUACCAGUUGUUCUGCCAAGAGCACCGCUGGGUAGCUACGUAUGGAUUAGAUAAUCGCUGAAAGCAUCUAAGUGAGAAACUAACCUCGAGAUGAGAUUUCCCAUUCGUCAGAAGUAAGACCCCUGAGAGACGAUCAGGUAGAUAGGCUAGAAGUGGAAGUGUAGUGAUGCAUGGAGCGGACUAGUACUAAUAGGUCGAGGACUUAACCAAG
rnacentral:rRNA from 1 species